rnacentral:rRNA from 1 species
UACGUAGGGUCCGAGCGUUGUCCGGAAUUAUUGGGCGUAAAGGGCUCGUAGGCGGUCUGUUGCGUCGGGAGUGAAAACUUACAGCUUAACUGUGAGCGUGCUUCCGAUACGGGCAGACUUGAGGUAUUCAGGGGAGAACGGAAUUCCUGGUGUAGCGGUGAAAUGCGCAGAUAUCAGGAGGAACACCGGUGGCGAAGGCGGUUCUCUGGGAAUAUCCUGACGCUGAGGAGCGAAAGCCAGGGGAGCAAACGGG